CCUACGUAUAUACAUACAUAUAUACACAUAUAUUUUUCUUUAUAUCAUUUAUAUGUGUAUGUAAACACACACACACAGCCCCCCAAAGAGACCACCUGGAUUUGGAAGAAAGAUGUGGGGUAAGAUUGCUUUUCGCCAGGUGGGGAAGAAAGACACAUUGACCCUCCCUUUCCGAAGCCAUGUCACAUUCUGCUUAGCCUUAGAGCUGCUUAUUCCUUGCCUGGAAUCCUCUUUCCAUUCCAUUGAUUAAAAGUUAGUGUUCAUUUUGAAGUGAUGUUAUUUGUGGAUUUGACCGAAUUAGCUACUUAAUUUUGCGGGUUGUCCGAGUGCUUCUACUCCCAGGUGCGUUGCCGGAGUCCAGCAGGCAGGGCAGCGCCUGUCCGCACUCAGGUUAGGGGUGGGAAGUGCUGGGAAUCGGGGACCCGGACACUAGUCUAACCAGCCCCGCCGCUUCCGCGGGCAAGUCAGCCCUUGAUCCCUUAAAGCAGGGACAAUCGACGUGGUCCGAGAGAGAAAAAUAAGGGUAUUUCUGGGCCCUUCUCUUUCAGAAGUUGAUCAGGUUCGCAGAUCUGGAGGGCUAAUCCAAACAAGGUGCUUGACUUGUGAGGUCGCGAGUCUAGACAGAGCUGGUGGCUCGGCGGCUCCUUAUCUUUCCCUGGAAUCAGCCGAAGAGGCGCUCCCUGGCCCACUCUGCUCGGCUCGCCCGGGUCCUGAGCCACCGCUCGACGCAGACUGCACAACAAACACAGCACCUGAGACUUUACGGCUCACUUUAUUGUUUAAUAGAGAAUGCUGCAUAACAUUCAUUUGUCUUCUUGGUUCGGCGACCUGGCCGCUUUGCAGCCACAGACGCUGGGUGUGAGCCUGCGCCAGCGCCGGUCCGUUUUGGUCCCCACGUUGAGCAGCGCGUUCCACUCCAGCACCGCGCGUGUAAGCGCGUACAACUCUGUCCCUGCGCCCUCAGGCUCCUGGAGAGAUGCUCACAAAAUGUCUUGGAUAACAGCUGACCUUGUAAUGUCCUCAUCAUGAUCGGAGGGGACAAAGAGGCUGAAUUCCUAUACCAGUCUAUCUCCCAAAGACUAUUGAAACACUUCAUGAAUUGUAUCUGCAAUAAUAUUAAUCAAGACACAAAGGUCAAACCAGUAGAACUGCUGGCUUGUUCUGGGCCUACAGUCCUAUCCUCGAAAUUUUGCUUUCUUCUUGUUGAGCUCCUUGAAUUUGAGGAAGGCCAAGUGUGAGAGAGGAUGGUGAAGAAAGGGUAAAAGUUGCUUGUAGCUGGGCAUGGGCAACUCCAAUGCCACCACAGAGAUAAGUCUCUACCAGCUCAGGAGCUGGGAGAGGGCCCUGGUGGAGGAGAAUUUGCAUAAGGAAAUCAGCAGCUCUGUAGUACACUUGUAGCACGUGACAGGAAAAAUUUGUCAUUGGCUAUUUAUGAAUUAAAUCUUAAUAAAAUCCCUAGGUCUUCCCUAACCAAGUGCAAAUGUCUUAAGAGGUUACCUAUAAUUUUGAACAUCCUUUCAGCACAUUUUCUGCAUAGUUAAUGUGUGCAGUUGUGUCUAGGCACAGGACAGAUUUACUUCUGUAUCAAAAUUUGAGGCACUGUAUAUGGCACAGAGACCCCAUUAGUCAGUGAAAUUAUGGCCUAUUCAAGGAGAUGAAAAUUUAGUGAGAAUCUUAACUAGGAAGACAACAAAGUUACUCUUUCAAAGAAAUAAUUUAAAUGACUUUGAAGAGAAAAUAAGAUUUUUUUUUUUAAUGGAAAGUUUAUUUUCCAAACUACAAGACAGUUAAAUAGUUAGCAUAUCUCUUAAACCCUAAAUUUUAAUUUAUCACUCAGUGAUGUCACUGAUAGUCUCUAGCUCUUAAUAAAUGCAGUUCAUCUUCUCGUGUGUCAGUUUUCUCAUUUUAAAAAUUAAUUAUAAUGAUAAAGCUAUUUUUAAGUGAUUUUUUUUUUCUUUUUUCUUUUUUUUUUUUUUUUUCCUGAGACAGAGUCUCCCUCUGCUCCCUCCGUUACCCAGGCUGGAAUGCAAUGGUGUGAUCUUGGCUCACUGCAACCUCUGCCUUCCGGGUUCAAACGAUUCUCUUGCCUCAGCCUCCCCAGUAGCUGGGAUUGCAGGAGCCUGCCACCACUCCUGGCUAAUUUUUGUAUUUUUUUGUAGAGACGGGGUUUCACCAUGUUGGCCAGGCUGGUCUCAAACUCCUGACUUCAAGUGAUUGACCUGCCUUGGCCUCCCAAAGUGCUGGGAUUACAGGUGUGAGCCACCAUGCCCGGCUCUAAAUGAUUUGUAGCAUAAUAGUAACACAUUUGAUGAUACAUGAACAACUAUAGAUAGAGCUAGAGGUAGAAAAAAAAUGAAAUGAAAUUAUUCCCUAGCUUUUCCUGGGUUGUAACAAAUUCCCAGAACAUUUGAACCCUCCACUGAAUCUAGGUUUAUGAUAUAUAAUUGAAGAGUAGACAGACAUCUUAGGAACAAAAGUACAAAGAAGAAAGGGGUACAUCAAAUUGGUGAGUGAGCAGAAAUAACAACAUCCAGAAGGAAUUUUCUACCCUGACUCUUAUUUUUAGGAACACUUUCUACUCCACCUCCCUGACUUCUGCCUUCCAUCUUAAGCCCUAGCUUAUCAUCAACACUAAGUGUAAGAUCAGUUUAGAGCCAGGGAAAGUGAAAUAUAAUUUAUUCAGCAAAACUUAUAGAGAUAAUUUAAGGAAUGUAAAAGUAAUUUCAUAAUUUGGAUUUUGGCCAGCAAAUAAAAACUAAUAUCCAACUCCUUUUCCCACGACUAGGAGUGAGAAUAAUGAUUUCAUAUCUCCUGUGAAUUGCAACAAUUACAACAAUAUUGUUGAAUAUUGAAGUAAUUUUCCAGCCCUACAGGAAUAUGUAAGAGUUUUUAAAAGCAGAAAAAAAAAAAGACAUCUAGAAGCAAGGUCAGACAGGAAAGUAACAUUUUAAGGCGCCACUAAAUAAUUUUUGAAACCCCAUUUGAAAUUUAUAAACUGAUCAUUUAAUGGUUUUGGCUUUUAUAAAUAUGAUGUAUAUUCUUGUUUCUUGAAUUCUAUAAUCAAAUGAUAAAUGAUAAUAUAAUAUAAAUAGCAGCAGAUAAUUUUGGACAUGAUCAUUAAAUGAAGUUUUCUAACUGAAAAAUUGAAGUGGAUGCAAAUAUACAAAGGAAAUUUAUACACGAUUUUAGACUAAAGAACAAUCCAUCUGAUCAAAAGACAUCUUAUUAUUCUUAUUAUUUGUAAUAGAUGACUUCAGUUGCAAUCAAAUGACAAAUGUAUAUAUAUGUAUAUAUAUAUUUGAUCAUCAUUUGAUAUUAUAUACAUAUAUAUAAUAUAUACUAUCCAAAUAUAUUUGAUUUAAAGGAAACUAUCAUAAAGACCAUGGUUAGAAUUCACUUUAGCAACUAAGUACAAUGAUUACACAGCAGCUAUAAGUCAAAUGAUUCUAUGAUGAACUACACAAUUAGAUAUAAAAAUACACUGUGAUAGCUAAAGACCUUGAAGUACAAUUUUAAAAUACAUUAACUAGUAUAUACAGUUGAUUUUAAUCUAUCAAAAAUUAUUGGAAUGUUAAUUUCAGUUAUAUAUUACUUAGAGUGGUCUGUUAAAUCACAAAAUGUGCCUCUGCAAAUUUUAAAUAUCACUUGAAUUGUAGUUUUUGUGCCUGCAUUCGCUCCUUACACUAUUUCGAAAAUUGCCAAAUUAAUUGUCUGUUUAGUAGUAAGUAUAAUGUGGAGAAAAAGCAUAUUGCUAAAAUGUAUUUAAUCAGAAUUUAUAUAUGCACCCCUCCAUAACACAUACCUUGAGGUAUUUUCUUGAUCGUGGUAUUAAAAUUAAGUAUUAUGCUCAGUAUAUACAAAAGCUAAAAAAUAUGAGAAUCAUAAACAAUAAAGCUCUCAUAAGAUUGUUAUUGAUCAAAAUAUUAAAUCAUUCUGGCUUUUAAUCUGCUGAAAGUACACACUGAAAAACAUAUUUUGAGCUUCAAAAAAUUUCUUAAGUCUAGCUUAAACAUAUAAUAAUCUAAUUAUAAAUGAUAAAAAUCUGUACCAGUUAUUCUUGGUAGAAACUUUAUUUUCCAGUGUAUAUAAGUAACUUUUGUUAAUUCACCGUACUUUUAAACUGAAUAUGUUUAAACAAGCUACUUUUCAUCUUAAUUUUCAAAUUAUAAUCAUGGAAUGUCUAAUAAAUCUUAAUGCCAGUUAUUUCUGUCUGAACUAAAUUGAGAUCUUUAUUGACACAUGGAAAGGGAGGGGGGUUUCUUUCCUUGCUGAGAAUUAUAUUGUUCUGGUUGUUAGAAUUAUAGUGUCACUGCUUUGUUCAAAGCUGGUCAGGGCAAGUUUCUGAACUUGGAUUUAUUACCACGUACUCGUCUUAGGUCUACCACAACCUCAAAACUUGUGACAGAGACUCUUCAACUUAUAUCUUAGCAAAUUAAAAGGACAGGAACAUCAACAGGAACUCUCGGUACAAACAAGAUUUAGGAAUAUUUAUUUGUGCAAGAGAAAAUAUGCUUUGUGGCUCUGUGCCACUUAAAAAAAAGUAGUCUUGCUUAAGGUUUCAAUUUUCUCAAAUGGAAGAAAUAGACAGAAUAUGUUCCCUGGACUUUAUGUUUAUAUUAUGCCAAAGAAAAUGAGCCAAUGCAUCUUAGUGGAUAAGCAUUAAAGUAUUCUUGAGCACAUUUUUUUUCCUGGAAUUGAUUUUUUCCUCUAAUCUUUAAGUUGGUACUUUUUUUUUUUUUUUAAACUACAUUGAUGCUUUUCUGUUGCGACUUUACCUGUCUCUUCCACCCCCACCUUUCUCUUUCAAAGCAUUUUUUCAAUCAGCAUAUGAGGUUCUGAAAGAAUACUUAGUCUUGGCUUUUCCCUCAACUUUAUUCAGCAAAGCUACUGACUUGAACAAAAGCAGUACUGUACCUGCUCCUGGCCGCCAGAAACAAUGACGAGCGCCUUGAUAAGAUUAGAUGUAAUUUUAAAUGCAGUGGGGACAAAGACUCCCUCCCAUUCGCCCCACUCUUAACCCCCUACUGUAAUUCCACCACAGGGAGCAGUUGAAAAAUCCCGG
ensembl:lncRNA